rnacentral:rRNA from 1 species
UACGUAGGGUGCAAGCGUUGUCCGGAAUUAUUGGGCGUAAAGAGCUCGUAGGCGGUUUGUUGCGUCGGCUGUGAAAUCCCGAGGCUCAACCUCGGGUCUGCAGUCGAUACGAGCAAACUAGAGUGUUGCAGGGGAGACUGGAAUUCCUGGUGUAGCGGUGAAAUGCGCAGAUAUCAGGAGGAACACCGGUGGCGAAGGCGGGUCUCUGGGCAACAACUGACGCUGGAGGAAGCGAAAGCGUGGGGAGCGAACAGG